rnacentral:rRNA from 1 species
GUUGACCUCGGAUCAGGUAGGGAACCCGCGAACUACCCUCUUUCUUUUCGUCCCCGAAAUAGGGGGGGGGGGCGCCACCA